rnacentral:rRNA from 1 species
UACAGAGGUCCCAAGCGUUGUUCGGAUUCAUUGGGCGUAAAGGGUGCGUAGGCGGCGCGGUAAGUCGGGUGUGAAAUCUCGGGGCUUAACUCCGAAACUGCAUUCGAUACUGCCGUGCUUGAGGACUGGAGAGGAGACUGGAAUUUACGGUGUAGCGGUGAAAUGCGUAGAUAUCGUAAGGAAGACCAGUGGCGAAGGCGGGUCUCUGGACAGUUCCUGACGCUGAGGCACGAAGGUCAGGGGAGCAAACGGGAUUAGAAACCG